AGAAGAUACACCCAAGGGCUGGUAUUUCGAUCCUUCAUCUUCCUUCGUCUGCUGCCCAGAAUAAUCCCACUCCCCUCAAAACCGCUCAGCUGUGGAUGCGGUCCUUUGUACUGCCAGGACUGGGAGGAAGCUGGCUGGAAGGUGGGAACCCCACCGCUAGGAGACAUGGAAACCAGGUACUGUGAAUUUUCUCCCAGUAGAUUAUGGCUGAAAGGAUUGGGCCCACUGGAAAUCCUCAAAAGCUAUCAGCUGAAACUAACCAGAAGCCAGAAGACAAGGCAACCCACAGAUGCAGCUUAUUCAUUCAGCCCCAACAGAGCAGAACAAAUAAGGCUGAAGAGUAGGUGUGCACUCACACAGAGAAUACAGCUGGCACAGAAGCUGACAAGAUGUUUCCGAAUGAGCUUUGCCAGGUGUUGGCACAUUUGUGGGAUCACCAUGGAUACAAGUUCUGCUCCUCAAUUUUUAAGGCAAGAAUCUUAAUUUCACCAGUUAUCUAAUGGUAGCCAAGUUCUACUUACAACACCCAAACUUACCAAGUUUAGAAUAUACAUACGUACAAACUUACUGUAAAGGUGAUAUCCAUUCAUAUGUUAUAUUUUCCCAAUUAAAGAAUAUUUUGCAUGACUUGAAAUAGAAAAAAUAAUAAACACACUAAUAUUCAGCUUUUACAUGACUUCCAUAUUUGACGUUUUGACAAAGGAAAGAGAAGUAAAAGAGAAGCAAAAGGCUAUGUGAUGAAGUGGGAAGAAUGUGGUGUUUUUGAAAUCAAACAGCCCAGAGUACCAAUUUCAACUAUACUUGUCAUAACCUUAUUUCUCUAUGAACCAGGGAUGACAGGCC
rnacentral:lncRNA from 1 species